rnacentral:rRNA from 1 species
CCUUCGGGUCGAGUGGCGCACGGGUGAGUAACGCGUGGGAAUCUGCCCUGUGGUACGGAAUAACAUCGGGAAACUGGUGCUAAUACCGUAUAUCCCCUGAGGGGGAAAGAUUUAUCGCCAUGGGAGGAGCCCGCGUAGGAUUAGCUAGUUGGUGGGGUAAUGGCCUACCAAGGCGACGAUCCUUAGCUGGUCUGAGAGGAUGAUCAGCCACACUGGGACUGAGACACGGCCCAGACUCCUACGGGAGGCAGCAGUGGGGAAUAUUGGACAAUGGGGGAAACCCUGAUCCAGCCAUGCCGCGUGUGUGAUGAAGGCCUUCGGGUUGUAAAGCACUUUCGCACGUGACGAUGAUGACGGUAACGUGAGAAGAAGCCCCGGCUAACUUCGUGCCAGCAGCCGCGGUAAUACGAAGGGGGCAAGCGUUGUUCGGAAUUACUGGGCGUAAAGGGCGCGUAGGCGGUGCACUAAGUCAGGCGUGAAAGCCCUGGGCUCAACCCGGGAAUUGCGCUUGAUACUGGUGCGCUCGAAUCCAGGAGAGGUUGGUGGAAUUCCCAGUGUAGAGGUGAAAUUCGUAGAGAUUGGGAAGAACACCGGUGGCGAAGGCGGCCAACUGGACUGGUAUGACGCUGAG